GUAGGUGGCAAGCGUUGUCCAGAAUUAUUGGGCGUAAAGCGCGCGCAGGCGGUCCUCUAAGUCUGAUGUGAAAGCCCACGGCUCAACCGUGGAGGGUCAUUGGAAACUGGGGGACUUGAGUACAGAAGAGGAAAGCGGAAUUCCAAGUGUAGCGGUGAAAUGCGUAGAGAUUUGGAGGAACACCAGUGGCGAAGGCGGCUUUCUGGUCUGUAACUGACGCUGAGGCGCGAAAGCGUGGGGAGCAAACAGGAUUAGAUACCCUGGUAGUCCACGCCGUAAACGAUGAGUGCUAAGUGUUAGGGGGGUUUUCCGCCCCCCUUAGUGCUGCAGCUAACGCAUUAAGCACUCCGCCUGGGAGUACGGCCGCAAGGCUG
rnacentral:rRNA from 1 species